GGACAGUCUAAGCAAUUUUGUAAGACCAUGUUUUUUUUUGUUUGUUUGUUUUUGGUAGCAGGGAUUGAACCCAGGACGGUCACCGUUGCAGGAAGCCAGCUAGACAAGCAGCAACAAGUGGCACUCGGAAAGACGGAGAACUCAUGCUUCAUUUUACUCCAGCCGGCACAGAGGGGAACAAACUCUAAAUUCUGAGCGCUGGCCCAUAGUUUCUCAUAACAUUUAUAGGCAAUUUUGUGCCAUAAAAUUUCUAGUCUACAUGACAGGAGGCCUUGUGUGGGGUUUCUAGUGGGAAGUGUGUUUACAGAAGCAAAAAAGCGAUAAGAGGAACUGGCUCUUUGCACAGGCAUAAAUAAAUCUUUGGCCUUGUGUCUGAAGCCUGGUCCAGGGGUGUUUACGUUUCAAAAGAGAGUAGUCAGAUUCCUAGAGACAGUUAUUUACAAUCCAAAUGGUAGGGACCUAUGGUUAAUUAGGUUUCCUGAAGAAAGGCUGACAGAAGGGUGGUGGUGGUGGUGGAGGGAACUCUGACCCUUUCCCAGGCUUUCUUUCUCAUGAUAACAUUCUUGUGAUUUCAUUUUACAACCAGGUCUGGUUUUGCUAUCUCGUAACCACUGAGCUACAUCCCCAGCCCUUUUUAUUUUAUUUUGAGACAGACUCUUCCUAAAUUCCCUAGGGCCUCACUAAAUUUUUUGAGGCUUGUUUUGAGCUUGCAAUCCUCCUGCCUCAGCCUCCUGAACCACUGGAAUUCAGGCAUGUGCUACCAAGUCCAGCUAUGAGACCCUGUUUCAAAAUAAAAAAAUAAAGGGCUGGGGAUGUAGCUCAGUUGUAUAGCAUGCCUGGGCUCAAUCCCAAAUGAUGUAAGAAACAGUGAAAAAUCAGACCCACAAGCUUAUGUUAGAAUAACAAAUAUUUGGGUUUAGAGUUUUGGAGUCACUAGUGGUUUACCUGGUAACUACAAACAACAACAGCAAAAUAAUAUAAUUAGUAAAGAAAAAUUUAAAAACCUGGGCUGGAGAUAUAGCUCGGUUGGUAGAGUGCUUUCCCCAAUGCACAAGGCCCUGGGUUCAAAAAAAAAAAGUGCUCGACUUUUUCCUCUUUCUUUCCCAAACUCAGCCUUAGACAUUAGUACUGGCUCUUCUAGUAAAUAAUGUGAAAGUUUAAACAUCUUAAUUGGCUUUAUUCAGUAUUCUAGUAUUUACCAACACUUCAUUCCUCAAAGCAAGAUGAGAUGAGCUGGGUUGAACAAAGCAGAAAUUCAGAACAAAAAGUAUAUUGGAGGUGCUGAGGUUGUGGCUCAGCGGUAGAGUGCUUGCCUAGCAUGUGUGAGGCCCUGGGCUUGAUCCUUAGCACCACAUAAAAUAAACGAAAGUUUAAAUAAAAUAAAACUAAAAAUUAAAUCGGUCAUUUCAAAGUUAUUUUCCUUGUAACAUUGGGAUAGGG
rnacentral:lncRNA from 1 species